rnacentral:tmRNA from 1 species
ACCGGUUUCGACGGGGGCACCGUAGUGUAAUCGGCGCAACGACCAACCCAAUCAAGUCGCAAAACUGGCCGGGAAAAAACACAAAUGCCAACGAUAACGUUGACUUUGCCUUAGCAGCCUAAAACCCUGCUAACGGUUCCUCUCUGACCACCUGCUAGGAGAUGUGAACCGCCGACAGCGGGUUGGCUUUCACGUUCUGUCUCGGGGCGUGUUGGCGAGAAUAUGCCGGGGCUCGCGGUUGUAAAAUUUUGUUCGUAGAAGCUUACAACUGCCAAACAAAAUACGGACUACUUGCGUAGAUGAUUGCAUGAAAGGUCUUCGGACGGGGGUUCGAUCA